UUUUGGCGCUCGCGCAGCAGCAACAUUCUGCACCACACGCGGGUGAGAAGAGAACGAAGUUGCUUGCUCGCUUUCUCCGUCGUUCAUUCUACAUCAGCUUUUUAUUGAUUUGCAAGCCAAACAUGGGUAAAAAGCAGAAUGGCAAAGGGAAGAAGGAAGUAUUGGAGGCAGAGCCGCCAGAGGAGUAUGUUGUGGAGAAGGUGAUGGACCAACGCAUUGUCAACGGAAGGUGGAAUUCUUCCUCAAGUGGAAGGGAUUUACAGAGGCGGAUAACACUUG